rnacentral:rRNA from 1 species
AUUGAACGCUGGCGGCAGGCCUAACACAUGCAAGUCGAACGAGUGGCGGACGGGUGAGUAAUGUCUGGGAAACUGCCUGAUGGAGGGGGAUAACUACUGGAAACGGUAGCUAAUACCGCAUACCAUCAGAUGUGCCCAGAUGGGAUUAGCUUGUUGGUGGGGUAACGGCUCACCAAGGCGACGAUCCCUCGCGAGUCUGAGAGGAUGACCAGCCAGACGGGAACUGAGACACGGUCCAGACCCCUACGGGGGUAAGCAGUGGGGAAUAUUGCACAAUGGGCGCAAUCCUGAUGCAGCCAUGCCGCGUGUAUGAAGAGGGCCUUCGGGUUUUAAAGUACGUUCAGCGGGGAGGCGUUACCCGCAGAAGAAGCACCGGCUAACUCCGUGCCAGCAGCCGCGGUAAUAC